rnacentral:rRNA from 1 species
UACGGAGGAUGCGAGCGUUAUCCGGAUUUAUUGGGUUUAAAGGGUGCGUAGGCGGACUGUCAAGUCAGCGGUAAAAUGCGGGGGCUCAACCUCCGCCCGCCGUUGAAACUGACGGUCUUGAGUGGGCGAGAAGUAUGCGGAAUGCGUGGUGUAGCGGUGAAAUGCAUAGAUAUCACGCAGAACUCCGAUUGCGAAGGCAGCAUACCGGCGCCCAACUGACGCUGAAGCACGAAAGCGUGGGUAUCGAACAGG